AUUGAUCGCUGGCGGCAGGCCUAACACAUGCAAGUCGAACGGUAACAGGAAGAAGCUUGCUUCUUUGCUGACGAGUGGCGGACGGGUGAGUAAUGUCUGGGAAACUGCCUGAUGGAGGGGGAUAACUACUGGAAACGGUAGCUAAUACCGCAUAACGUCGCAAGACCAAAGAGGGGGACCUUCGGGCCUCUUGCCAUCGGAUGUGCCCAGAUGGGAUUAGCUAGUAGGUGGGGUAACGGCUCACCUAGGCGACGAUCCCUAGCUGGUCUGAGAGGAUGACCAGCCACACUGGAACUGAGACACGGUCCAGACUCCUACGGGAGGCAGCAGUGGGGAAUAUUGCACAAUGGGCGAAAGCCUGAUGCAGCCAUGCCGCGUGUAUGAAGAAGGCCUUCGGGUUGUAAAGUACUUUCAGCGGGGAGGAAGGGAGUAAAGUUAAUACCUUUGCUCAUUGACGUUACCCGCAGAAGAAGCACCGGCUAACUCCGUG
rnacentral:rRNA from 1 species